AGGCCAAAACACAAUCAGGUGGUCCCUUUGAUUUUACAUUAGUGACCCUUUUAUUUAUUGCCAGAAAACACAGCAUAAUUGGUGGUUGGUAUGAGCAUCAGUUACCAGUAGGGUUUAUUACAACAACAACAUCCACCGGCGGCACUUGAUUGUAGUUAAGAUUUAAGAGCAUAUGGCAUUGUUGAGUCCUGUUUCAUCAUCAUGUUUACCAAGAUUGUGCUCUCAAUUAGCAGCACAUGAUGCAGUUGUAGAUACAAAGUCUAGGGUUUGCUUAUCAAGAGCAUCAUCUCACCUUCAACGCAGUUUGAUUCAUAAAUGUUAUUUGGAUAAAAGAGAGUCACAUGGUUUCAAAGUUUUGGCUUCGGCUUCGGUUACAGCAGGUUUAAGUUUGAGUCUUUUUCUUGUUAAUUACAGGUUAUAGGUGUGUUUUUAUAUAAUUUGUUUGGUUUUAUCGCUUUAACAGAGGUGAUGAGGGGGGUGUGAGGUGACUUGGGUGUUUUAGGGUUUCU